rnacentral:rRNA from 1 species
UACGAAGGGUGCAAACGUUGCUCGGAAUUAUUGGGCGUAAAGCGCACGUAGGCGGCAUUGCAAGUCGGAUGUGAAAUCCCUCGGCUUAACCAAGGAAGUGCAUCCGAAACUGCAGUGCUUGAGUACGAAAGAGGAUCGCGGAAUUCCCGGUGUAGAGGUGAAAUUCGUAGAUAUCGGGAGGAACACCGGUGGCGAAGGCGGCGACCUGGGUAGAUACUGACGCUGAGGUGCGAAAGCGUGGGGAGCAAACAGG